AGCUUGCCUAGAUGAAUUUGGUGCUUGCACCAAAUGAAACUAGAUACAAGCGAGCGGCGGACGGGUGAGUAACACGUGGGUAACCUGCCCAAGAGACUGGGAUAACACCUGGAAACAGAUGCUAAUACCGGAUAACAACACUAGACGCAUGUCUAGAGUUUAAAAGAUGGUUCUGCUAUCACUCUUGGAUGGACCUGCGGUGCAUUAGCUAGUUGGUAAGGUAACGGCUUACCAAGGCAAUGAUGCAUAGCCGAGUUGAGAGACUGAUCGGCCACAUUGGGACUGAGACACGGCCCAAACUCCUACGGGAGGCAGCAGUAGGGAAUCUUCCACAAUGGACGCAAGUCUGAUGGAGCAACGCCGCGUGAGUGAAGAAGGGUUUCGGCUCGUAAAGCUCUGUUGGUAGUGAAGAAAGAUAGAGGUAGUAACUGGCCUUUAUUUGACGGUAAUUACUUAGAAAGUCACGGCUAACUACGUGCCAGCAGCCGCGGUAAUACGUAGGUGGCAAGCGUUGUCCGGAUUUAUUGGGCGUAAAGCGAGUGCAGGCGGUUCAAUAAGUCUGAUGUGAAAGCCUUCGGCUCAACCGGAGAAUUGCAUCAGAAACUGUUGAACUUGAGUGCAGAAGAGGAGAGUGGAACUCCAUGUGUAGCGGUGGAAUGCGUAGAUAUAUGGAAGAACACCAGUGGCGAAGGCGGCUCUCUGGUCUGCAACUGACGCUGAGG
rnacentral:rRNA from 1 species